UACGUAGGAUGCAAGCGUUGUUCGGAAUUACUGGGCGUAAAGCGUGCGCAGGCGGUUUUGUAAGCCAGAUGUGAAAGCCCCGGGCUCAACCUGGGAAUGGCAUUUGGGACUGCAAGGCUUGAGUGCGGCAGAGGAGACUGGAAUUCCUGGUGUAGCAGUGAAAUGCGUAGAUAUCAGGAGGAAUACCGAUGGCGAAGGCAGGUCUCUGGGCUGACACUGACGCUCAUGCACGAAAGCGUGGGGAGCAAACAGG
rnacentral:rRNA from 1 species